CAUUACAUGUUUGAAGCCGUUUGAAGGGUUAAUAGUUGUUGGCCAGACAAACUAAUCAAAGGCAUGGCCAUUUUGUGCUUUUCACUUUUGAAGAUCCAAGUGCCCCUUGCAAGGACGUUGACGCCCAAAACUGUAAACUGAUUAUGUGGCUGCCGCUGUUGCUGUGCCCCAAAAUAGACACAGAACGCCGUCUGGCAGCAACAGUGGGUUCGCGAGACGUAAUCACAAAAAUGGUCGAGCAGGGAGCAAAAUUCAGUUUUAAAUCAUAAACAACAAUUUCGAGAUAGAUUUUUUUUAGGCGAACCUAAAUAUGUUUGCAAUUUGAAUGCCACUGUGCGCUGUUGACUCAAAUUAGCUGUUCGAAUAUGGCGAAGCUGCGGCUAAGGAAGUAGCUAUCUAUCUGGUUGCGUGCUUGACAGUCUAUCUGCCUGUUUGUCGAUCUGACAGUUUGAGUGUGGGCUCACACAAACCGAAACCCCAGCCAGAAACUGCCAGCUACCAGACAUGACCCAAAGUUUAACCCAAAGCCGAAACUGAUACCAAACGCUCUUCCGGGCGUUGUCAUGUGGCCGGAAUGUGGUUAGCCUGUCGUCUACUGCUCUCGGCGUUAAAAGGAUUAAAAUGCCUGAAAUGGACUUGUGGCAUUCCCCAGACAUAUACAAUCUA
rnacentral:sRNA from 1 species